rnacentral:lncRNA from 1 species
CCGUUAGCAUCAUUCUGUAAGUCCAUUCCUGCUAGAUUAGAAACUUCUCGAAGUGCUUUCCUCCACCCUUCCACCUUAUUCCUUAAGUACUCCCUUUUCCUUUCAUUGAUUUCUAUCCUGAAUAACUCUUCGUGUCUACCAAAUGCCUCUGCAAAACUUCCAGUUUGAUGUCUAACUUGAGAGGGAACCACAUCAUAGAAGACCGGUUAGAAUUAAUGUCCUGAUGUCCUAUUUUUGUGUUCAAGGAUAUCACAGUUCGUCAAGGCACCAUCUGGAAGAAGCAUAGUCUUUGGAGAAACACAAUUAUGGAACUUCUUGCAGUCUUUAUUGCCUUCUCUAAUUCUGAGUUAACAUUUUUCAAGCUCUCAAUACCCUCAUCAGCUUAUAAAGGUGCGAAGACCAGCACCCAUUGGGGGGGAAGAACACAUAGACAAAAAAACAACACAACAACAAAAACAACACAAAAAAAAAAACAAAGCUGCAUAGAGGUGGUCGGUGAAGGUCUUGCGAGUUGUCUUCACCUCUAAAGCUCAAGAACACAUGGGAAUUGCAUCGAGGUGUGAAAGAGAGGGCCUCUUGAUAUCUCGCAAUAGCCAUUGAACAAACCCUUAUGAUAUAACUGAAGGGAUACUACAAUUUGUCAAAUAUUUGAGGAUGUAUCAGAUAGUCACUAUGAACUACAAACUAUGAAAUCAUCAACCCAGAUCAAAAUUAGUUACCAACACUCAAAGCCGCACACACACAUCAGCUUAUUGAAGAACCAAUACACACUAUAUUAUACUUAUAUAAGGAUUAAAAAAUAGUGUUCCCAACAUUCGAUUAUAUUUGUCUUUUUUAAGAGUUUCCAACUUUCUAAAGGUAAAGUAGUUAUUGCAUUGGAACUCAAAUUCAAAUACUUGUAUAUGAUUACCAACGCUGCCCCUUUAUUUCAAAUAUAUUACAAAUCUCAUGCUUUGAUGUUUUAAAGUGGGCAACCAUUUUGGAAUAUCUUUAAAUAAAAAGAUAAACAAAAAAAACAAGGACAAUAGGGAGUAAUUAAGAAUCUGUAGCAAAACCAUCUAAUUCUAAUCCAUGCAAAUGCAACAAUACUACAUACCCAUAAAAAUUAGCCAUAAGAAAUGUAAAUGCACAUUUUUCAUGGAUGUAACGUUAAACGCAUCCAUGAAUAGAUAGUGAAGCAACUUCUAUUUUUUUUAUUGUUAAUUUCUAAUUUUCUGAUGGGAAACAAUUCAUCUGCAUAUUUAGCUUUCCUAUUUUCAAGCACAAAAUUAGUAUAGUCAAUAGAUUUAAUUGUCCUUAUAUAAUGGAAUACCGUAUCACCUAUAUAUAUAAUAAGUGUAAUACCCUAUUUUUAUAAAUAGAUAAAUAUUUAUUUUAAAGUUCGAUUAAAAUUUUCUACAACUCGGGUAUAUAUAUUUUUUAUACUGGGUAGGUAGUAUAGGGUCAUUUUGUAUAAAUUCGGUACCUAGGGGUUACUGUUUUUCAAUUUAAAUUAAAUCUUGUAUUUUUAGACUGUGGGUAAUUACGCGUGUGAGAGAUAGUCAAAUGGGGGUGUGGGUUGGUUAUCUUCGAUUAGCAUAUCCAGAGUAACAAAUUUGGGGUUAUUGAUCAGAGAAAGAGAGAGAGGAGAAGAAGAAGAAGAAGGAGAAGAAGAAGAGGGAAACCAUGGAGAUAAAUUGACGGAAUUGUUGUGCCCAAAACUUAACAGAAACCACACACACAGAGACAGAUAUUUACGAAGUUUGUUAAAUUGCCUGCGUCCUCGGGUGGUAGCAAUUCUAAUAUAUAGAGAAAGAUUUCCAAAUUAAAGUUUCUCACUCUCUCUCUCUCUCAAGUCUAAUAUAUAGAGAAAGAUUUCUAGAUUACAAGUUUCUCAUUCUCUCUCUCUCAUGUUUUCUGAUUUACUCUCACCUACCCGCACCAUUCUAAAGUCUAUACAUGAGGUCAAACUCUUGGAAUCCAAACAUGAAGUUAAAGCCAAUUUUCAACGAUCACCUUGGCGAAAAUUUCUCCCAACCAUAGUAAUACUGUCACCAAUGCCCUUUUAAGCAUUUUAGAUUUAGCAUUGGUCAUCGUAGUCCUGUGCUCAAAGAUGGUAAAAGUACCAGUAGUCUUCGAAGAUUCUACCAUCUUAACAAUUUCGGCUCCACCAAAACUAAUAUGGAGUCAAAAUCCACAAAUUCGAAUCUCGCAGAUAGAUCCAAAGUACAGGAAAACCUUGGAGAGGGUCUAAACUAAAAAAUUCAAAAAGUUUAGGGAACAAACUAUAAUUAUCAAAAUUUCAAAGAUCCAACUGUAAUUUUAACAAACUUUUGGGACCAAAACUUAAUUUUUCCAAAAAUUAGGGACUUAAAAAAUAAAAAUUUCAAACUUCAAGGACCACUAUGUAAUUUCCCAAAUUGAGAGAAUAUUCUUGGAAUAUUCUAUUUGUUGACUAGGCACUAAUUGGAUCGUUUAUGUGGCACUAAUGUGGUGAUAAUUGGAUGCUGACUAAGCGCUGGUUGAUGUUGAUGGGCCCUUGACUUAAUACUGACAGAGUGCUGACGAGGCAUUAACGAAGCAUGUGCAGCUCGUGGACUACUUAGAGUGUAGCACGUGGGCGUGAGUAGAUUUCAUGCGCCGAUUGCUAGGUGGCGUGCGGGUGUGUGUGUGUGUGCGAGGUUUGGGUCGCAGUUUGAACUAGGAGAUUCGUCUCAUCGAGACGAACAUGAUGGUGUUCUCAAAAAAUAUUUUAAAACACUUGUAAUAAACUGAGACUCUAUCUGACUCUGAUAUUAUGCUCAUAAUUAACAAAAACCACACACAGAAACAUUUACACACACAAAGACAGACAAGGUUCGACAAAUUGCCUACUUCUUCGGGUGGUAGCGAUGUCAGUAUAUAGAGAAAAAUUUACAAAUUACAAGUUUUUGACUCUCUCUCAAGCUUUCUGAUUUACUCUCACUUACCCACACCAUUAUAUAGCCUAUAUGUAAGGUAUAUAUAGGAUGAGAUAUACAUAUUUCAGAAAGCCAUAGCGACUUUCUUGGAGCUCAAAAGCUCCAUCGGAAGGGAGCUACAUUGGAAAUGAUUGUUCUUGAAAAUGGAUGAAUCAAACUCUUGAAACCAAAACAUGAAGUUAAAGCCAAUUUCCAACGGUAAUUAAAUGCUAAAUGCAAUAUGUAAUAUUAUUAACUAGAAAAUGAGCAAGUUUGCAAAAAUUUAUUUGUGGGUAGUAGAUCAACUUGCACCAAAUAAGUUUAAAAAUGACAAAAUUUCAGGUCUAGUAUUUUAAUGUAACAAUAAACCAAUCAUAAUCUCUUUCUGAGAUUUGAAAUAUGAUUGGGAUCCGCUAGCUUUAGUUGACAAGUUGAUGGAGAACUUGUAGUCGCCCGUUACAUGGACGGCUUCUAUGGUUGCUGAUUCGAUUUGGGCCUGAAUGGACAUUGGUGGAAUGGGUUAAAAAGAUCCAUAUUUGAUGUAAAAUGAUAGAUGAUCAAUACUCAUCGCUUUACUAUAACUAGCGAUGAAUUUCGGCAAUAUUUUGUCGUUUAGACGGAAAAAAUUGUCAUUUUUUGAAAUAUUUGACAGGUGAAUAACUCAUGAUUUAAUUCCGAUUUAUGCGGGAUUUGUGGGAGAGUUUUUUUUAUCCUUAUAGUUUCUAGAUUUGAGUUUAACUCAAAUCUUUCAGUAUUUUUUCUUUUUUGGUAAAUUUUAAUUUUCCUAAAUAAUUGCUUGAUUAACAAGCAAUUACCUAUCUUUAUUUCUUUACUAAGCUCAGUUAGGGUUUAUUAGCACUGUAAAUACAAUGUAAUGCCUCUUGGCUAAUUAAUUGAGUUUGACUAAUAAUAGUGAGUUGAGAGAGCAUAUUUUCUUUUUCAUAUUUUUUUGAUAUUCAUAGGAUUCGACAGAAUUAUAAAAUGGAUUGUUAUUUUUUCUUGCUUUCAAAUCUAUUCUUCACAACGUUUCACGCUGCAUCACAAGUCAAAAUAGUUAAAAUGUACAUUCUUAUACUCUAGUCUCUAGAGAAGCAACAUCUAUUUCCUAGCUAAUGCAUCUAGUUGCAUCACUACCACUCAUUGUUUUUUUGUCUUUUAAGUUAUAUUAAUUGUGCAUGUUUUGGGGAUCAUAUAAGUUGAAAAACCCAAAUAAGUACACCAUGUAAGCCUUAACCAAUAAUAUCUCCACUUUGCACUCUCAAUUAUAUAAACCUUGCAAUCAACCUUGACAUCCAACAUUUAUCUAUAAAAUAGACAAAAAAUUCCAGUUAAGUUAUCACGUGUUGACCCGACUCAGAUCCAGGGGCAAUCCAUGUUAACACCAUAAAAAAAAUCCAAGUUUGAAUUGUGUUCUACCUUGUUCUCUCUCCGUUUAUUGUUUGACAAAAAAUAUUGAAUUUGCAUAUUUUUUAUGAUAUUAACAUGGGUGGUCCAAUCAACAUGUGGUGUGGCAAUUUUAGUCCACUUUGUAGAUGGACGUUGGAUGUUGGGAUUGAUUACAACGGUUUAUAUAGUUGCGUGUACAAAUUAAAAAACAUAUUAAUUAGGAAAAAAAUGAGAAUUGUUCAAUACUUUGAGGGGACAAAUUGCAGUUUUCCCAGCUCUAGAAAUACCAUUGGAGGAGUACCACGGAAAUCACACAUCAAACUUUUACAGCUCUAGAAAUACCAUUGGAGAAGAAGGAUCCCGGAAAUCACACAUCAAACUUUUUAUUGUCUAAAAAAAUUUGCUUUUUCAAUCUUUUUAAGAAGAUUUGGGCUCGAUGUCCAUGGUGCCCAAUUCUUAAUUGAGUAUUCCUAUUCAAAAUAAAAAUUUAAGCUCAAAUCGAUUAUAUGCUAAACUUUAAUUGCUUACCAUGUAAGCCCCGUCAACUACCAACCAAUCAGCAUGAAUAAACAUUGAACCGCGUAUCAAAAAUCUUGAUGCCAAAAUUUUAUUUUGCCAAUUCAGACAAUACUCUUAUUACUCUUAUAUGCAUCUUUCCCUAUUCUGUCACCAUACCCUCCAACCACCUCACCACCACUACUAGGCCAUCACCUUCAGCGGUUGAUUGUUAUUUUCCGGUCAACCAUUGACAAUUUUUUGGACGGGCCACCGACUUAUUUUCUGGUUAUCGCUAACUUUUUUUAUGGCAGCACGAUUUGUUCAAAUACUUUCCAAAAACUUUCUAGCAACGGUUUUUCACGUGACUACCCUUAGCAACUUUUUCUAGAUAAGUGGCUUGCUGUUAGACCGGUAGCUUUCCAACAUGUACCGGCAGACAGACAACACUAGAUCGAGAUAGUUAAAUUCUAUAAGCAGAGAAUUUCAUUGUUCAUUCAUCAAUCACAUAUACCAUUAAAAAAAUUUUAAUUUAACAAGAAAACAAAAUUUGUGUACAUGAAAGGGGUAGGUGUAGAACCUGGUACUUAAGCUAGGGAUAUAACCCUGGACUCCUCCCAACUUCAAUUAACUCCUAAAGUUGUUGCAAGUACGCUACAGUGUUCCAUGUAAGAAGCAAGUAAUUGUUAGUAACGCAAAUAUAUAAAGGAGGAGCUAGUUGCACCACUCAAGAAUGGAGUCAAGAGGUGGCGGCUGGAGGCGACCGUCUGAAAUAUUCAAAUUGUAUAUAUUUGACACCUUGAUAUUGAAAUUAAGAUUGCAUUUUCUACAUAUACAUGUUACAAAUUUUAUAUUUUGUAUGUAUAUUUAUCUUUCCAAAUGUCAAAAUCAUGCUUCGGUCCCUAGCACCACUUGUUGAAGUAUGACAAAUCCUUGUCCCCUUGACACUUCAUAGUUUAAAUUUCAAAUGCUUUGAACAUGGCAUUGGAAAACACGUAGUAAUUGACACGGCAUUGGAAAAAUAAAACAACACCAAAAAAAACCAUGCUAGAAUUAAGGGCCCCCCAAGCUACUUUUAAAUGCAAAAAAAGAAUUCAAAGACGCCUAUCGUGUGAAUUAACACUGAAUAUGAUGUUUGUCAAAAUAUCUCAAGAGCAGAUUUUUAGAUUUUGGCUUUCCAAAAGCUGUGCCAUCUUGUUUGGCAUACAUUUUGCUUCUUAUUAUGAACAAAAAAUAACUGAGAAUAUCUAGCGUAAAACUAAUCAACAGGAAAUAAACUUUAAGAUAUCUACUGUAUAACUAAAUAAUAGGAUAUCGGAGGUCAUGGAUAUUGAACUAUGGUUGAAGCAGACACAGGAAUCAAGUGUUAUAUGUAGAAGUUUCUUUGAAAUAAGCUGGAUUUCGAAAACAAGAUAAAAAUUGAGUUUUGAUUUUUACACUCUUUUUUUUUUAUUCUACACUCCAAAAUUUAUCUCUAUUAAGUAAAAUUACAAAAAUGUCCUCUUUUAUAUUGACUUUUGAGGAUACUUUUAUAAUUUUACUUAAUAGAGAGAAAAUUUAGAGUGUAAAAUGUAAAAAAAAAGAGUGUAGAAAUCAAAACCCUAAGAAUUUUCUCCAAAAAAUGGCAGCCUACAUCAUACCUCCAAAUGUUUCAGAAAAAACUUAUGUAAUAUCACACACUGAGCUACAUCAUAUGCAAUCUAUCCAACACUGAGCCACUGAAUAUCGAAGUACAGGAGCAAAAAAUAUCAUAAAGACUACAAGUCAAAACACAUCUUACAGGUGCCGAUGACCACAGUACCACCACAAGCAUAGGCUACAGCCACCGUUAUCAUCACCUUAUAAUAGCUUGCACUAUGAAACUCAAGAACAUAAAGGAAACAUGAAAACUGAGCAACUGUAAACACAUAGAACAUGUAAACAAAAUUAAUGCCAUGGACAUUGAAGAUCUAGAGCUUGCAAAACAAAAACCAAAUCAGGCACUCAACAAGGUCCAUGCAACUCGCAAAAGAACCAUUAGAGACCUUGGUAGCCUCAAGAAAGAAAAUGGCUAUAAAACAGAUACACAACAAAUGGUUCUAUAUACUUGGUCAUGCAAACCUACUAAGCCUUCCACCAUCUGCCUGUUCCCAGAAGGAUAAGUCAUCUCUCACCCAUAGAAACUUAGGAACGCAAAAUGAUGACAAAGUAAGCAAUCACUCAAAAUAAAGUAGAAUUUACAAAAAAGUUCCAUAUCCAGACAGGAAAAAAAUUAUCAAAAAAAAGAAAAGAAUAUAACAUAUAAAUGCAUAUGGUCAUAUUGCUUUUGGGUUGAAAGUUAUCAAAUAGGACAAAAUCUCUUGUUAAAGCUACCUUAUUAUGAAAAUAUUGCAAUAGACUUGAUUCUAGGUAACAAACCAAUUAUUAAAAACCAAAAAGAACAGGCGUAUACUAAACCUGGAGCUUCUGCUCUCCUCCACACAACUCAAAAACCAAAUACUUCUUAAUCUAGUUCUCUGCAUGCAUUACUGAAGGGAAGUUUGAAAUGGUUUGUCUGAAAAAAUUACAUUAAAAGAAAAAUUAGUUCACUUGAAGAUAGCUAAUUUGCGCACACACCUAAAAAAAAUAUCUCCAGAGAACAAAAUUACAUCAACAGAAAAAUUAUUCCACUUGAAGAUAGUUAAUUUUUGUGUUCGCGCACACAAAAAUUAUUCAGAAGUUACUACUAAAUACCACUAACCCUUGUGUAUUUCAAUUGGGUUCAUGUGUCAAUACUUGGCGCACUUAGCGCAGAUACUCAGCCCACUGCAUUGAGUUACACAAUGACUAGGAUAAGCUGAAUCAGACAAGGAGACUGACUACAUUGCAAAAUGAGUGAGAAACUAACAGUUACCCCUCUAGCAAAGCAAUCUAUUUUAUGGAUUAAAGAUUUUGGGUUAAAUUUUAUUAUUUGAAAAUAAAAUGUGAACCAAUUGAGCUUCAAAAUAACAAGAAUAACAAUAAUAUAACAGAGAGAGAGAGAGAGGGAGAGAGAUUCGUCCAUUAUAUUUGUAAAAGGACAAGGCAUGAAGGGCCACUGUUUGGCGCCACCAUAAAAUGCUCGGACUGAAGGUGUGAGAAAGUAGGUUCAAGUCUACCACUGUCACAGCAUUCAAGGGUAGGCACAUGUCCAGUAAGUAAACCCUUGCAGCACCCACAAUUAUCAUAUGUUUAUGCUUGUAUUAUUAAGAGAAACCAGAACCACCAACAUAAGAGUUAAGGAGAGGGAUUACGAGAGACGAUAGUAAUGGCAUAGGAAGUAGUCGCCCGGACCUUGAAUAUAUGGUAUUAAAUCUACAACAUCGAUGCAUUGUCCCGAGAAGGAUAGAUAUUGUGGUGUUGGCUUCCUUCCUCUUCGUCCUUAUCCCACACAAUCUCUGCUCCAACUUCAUUUACCUGAUAAAGCUCGGUUACAUGUGCGCAGACUUUCAUUUCAUCACCCCCUUCCAUCAGGUACUGAUGCCCAAUCUUCCAGUGGCUUAACCGUAACCAAUCUUGGUUGCCAUCUGGAAAGCAUUUCCAGGUUGGAUUGUAGUCCCACAAAAGACCCUUGGACAUGUUUGUGAUAAUGAUAUCAUCCUAGCCCCAAUCAUCAUAAUAACUAUACAAAGCAGCAUAGUCAUCUUCUGAAUUUGUAAACCUACCAUCACUAAAAAUGGAAAGCCAACGACGUUCCCAGUCUAAAUAACCUUCAUCACUGGCAUAUGCAUAGAGCACGUGUACUUUCAAGGCUCGGAUCUUGAGAUUACUAUCUGAAGGCGCAUAAAAUUCUAUAAUGGACCCACUUUUCUUAUAAUUGCUGCACCAACUUGGCACCAAGCUCCUAGGAAUAAAUAAGCUGUAUAUACCAAAUUCAGACACUCCCUGUGCCAUGGAAUUUAUAAUAUCAGAACUAUCAAUUCCCAAUACAUAGUAUUUGGGUAAACAUCUAAAUAUAUAGACACAGUCAAAAGAGAACCUGAAUUGCGCUCGUCAUUGCUUCACAUGAAAGGUGGUUGAAGAACCUCAUUUGGUGGCUUCCCAUGGAUACUAAGUGAUCAGCUAAGCACAAGUUUUCAAUAAUUUCUAAACCAAUAUUUCCAAUGGGCUUUAACUUGAACAUAUGCUCAGCUUCAACUAGAUUGUCACAACCAAAUAAUCUCAAAUCUAGUUAUGUACAUAGGUUAGGAAGAUUUGUUAUCAUCUCCAGUGAGCUACAAUAAGCUAAAUCCAACAAACCUAAACUCAUUGGCAGUUCAGGCAGGGAUUGGAUUCUUUGGCAACCAUAUAAUGAAAGUGACUUUAGAUUUAUAAGAAAUUUGAUGCUCUCUGGUAGGCUAGGAAUUGGAUUCAUACUCAGAUCCAAGUCCUGCAACGAGGAUAAGCUACCAAGACUUCUAGCAAGAUCGUCAUUUGACAAAUUGCAGUUUGCAAGACUUAAGGUUACUAAUGAGCGUGGUAAAGUAGCCAAUGAACAACAGAUGGAUUCUGGACUUUUUCUUGUAUUCAAUACAAAAGGCUUGAAGAGAAAACUCCAUGAAUCAACCCAAAAAAGGAGUACUCGUUCUGUUUAUUGUAAUUCCAUCUGCUUGGCGAACAGUCAAAGAUUUCAUCUUUUCUCCUCUGCUGAUAGAUCAAGCUUUGAGCAACCGGAUAUAUUGAGUUUCACAAGAGACAUUAAACAAUGAAUUUCUCUUGGAAGAUUCUUAAGAUUUUUGCAUCCUUUCAGAUUCAAGGAAACAAGCUCCUUUAAUUCCCCUAUUGAUUCAUGAACCUCAACCAUGUGUACACAAUCCUCAAGGAUCAAAUCUUCAAGAUUUGGGAAUACGGUGAAGUUGGGGAUACAAGUGAGGCCAUGGCAAUGACUAAGAUUGAGAAUUUUCAAUGUCGGCAACUGUCAUGAAAGAAGGAAAGCAAUUUAAAGAAUUCAUAUGUUAUUUAAUCCUCAAAGCAGAGACCAUUAAAUGUAAAAGGAGGAAAAUUUAAAUCGUAUCUUGGCUCCCUUCCAAACAUGUUCCAACUUGCUAUGGCUCAAGUUAAGAGCAUGAAUUGUUGGAGUAAGUUUUCCACUCAUUGUUGUGAGUGUACGGAUAUGAAUUGUCACUAUUAGCAUUCAAGCAUCUUUGAGUAACAUUGACAUAUUUUUGAACAAAUUCGAGAAACUCAUGAGCACAAUAACAUUCAGUCACUAAGUGGCUAUGACU